GAAGAGCAUCCUACGGGAGGCAGCAGUGGGGAAUAUUGCACAAUGGGCGCAAGCCUGAUGCAGCCAUGCCGCGUGUAUGAAGAAGGCCUUCGGGUUGUAAAGUACUUUCAGCAGUGAGGAAGGUGGGUAUGUUAAUAGCAUACUCAUUUGACGUUAGCUGCAGAAGAAGCACCGGCUAACUCCGUGCCAGCAGCCGCGGUAAUACGGAGGGUGCGAGCGUUAAUCGGAAUUACUGGGCGUAAAGCGCAUGCAGGUGGUUUGUUAAGUCAGAUGUGAAAGCCCGGGGCUCAACCUCGGAAUUGCAUUUGAAACUGGCAAACUAGAGUACUGUAGAGGGGGUAGAAUUUCAGGUGUAGCGGUGAAAUGCGUAGAGAUCUGAAGGAAUACCGGUGGCGAAGGCGGCCCCCUGGACAGAUACUGACACUCAGAUGCGAAAGCGUGGGGAGCAAACAGGAUUAGAUACCCCGGUAG
rnacentral:rRNA from 1 species